rnacentral:rRNA from 1 species
AGUGAACGCUGGCGGUAGGCCUAACACAUGCAAGUCGAACGGCAGCACAGUAAGAGCUUGCUCUUACGGGUGGCGAGUGGCGGACGGGUGAGGAAUACAUCGGAAUCUACUUUUUCGUGGGGGAUAACGUAGGGAAACUUACGCUAAUACCGCAUACGACCUACGGGUGAAAGCAGGGGAUCUUCGGACCUUGCGCGAUUGAAUGAGCCGAUGUCGGAUUAGCUAGUUGGCGGGGUAAAGGCCCACCAAGGCGACGAUCCGUAGCUGGUCUGAGAGGAUGAGCGGCAAGAUCGGGACUGAGAUACGGACCAGAAGCGUACGGGAGGCAGCAGUGGGGAAUAUUGCACAAUGGGCGGAAGCAGGAUGCAGCAACGCCGCGUGCGGGAUGACGGCUUGCGGGGUGUAAACAGCAUUCGCCUGUGACGAAGCGUGAGGGACGGUAAUGGGUAAAGAAGCACCGGCUAACUACGUG